rnacentral:rRNA from 1 species
CAUGCAGUCGAACGGUUACAGGCAGAAGCUUGCUUUUGUGCUGAGUGGCGGACGGGUGAGUAACGCAUAGGAAUCUGCCCAGAGUGGGGGACAACUCGGGGAAACCCAAGCUAAUACCGCAUACGCCCUACGGGGGAAAGCAGGGGAUCUUCGGACCUCGCGCUAUUGGAUGAGCCUAUGUCUGAUUAGCUAGUUGGUGAGGUAAUGGCUCACCAAGGCGACGAUCAGUAGCUGGUCUGAGAGGAUGAUCAGCCACACUGGGACUGAGACACGGCCCAGACUCCUACGGGAGGCAGCAGUGGGGAAUAUUGGACAAUGGGGGCAACCCUGAUCCAGCAAUGCCGCGUGUGUGAAGAAGGCCUGCAGGUUGUAAAGCACUUUCAGUUGGGAAGAAAAGCUUCGUGUUAAUAGCGCGGAGUCUUGACGUUACCAUCAGAAGAAGCACCGGCUAACUCUGUGCCAGCAGCCGCGGUAAUACAGAGGGUGCGAGCGUUAAUCGGAAUUACUGGGCGUAAAGCGCGCGUAGGCGGUCUGGUCAGUCGGAUGUGAAAGCCCCGGGCUCAACCUGGGAAUGGCAUUCGAUACUGCCAGGCUAGAGUAUGGGAGAGGGAAGUGGAAUUUCCGGUGUAGCGGUGAAAUGCGUAGAUAUCGGAAAGACACCAGUGGCGAAAGGCGACUUCCU